rnacentral:rRNA from 1 species
GAUGAACGCUGACAGAAUGCUUAACACAUGCAAGUCAACUUGAAUUUGGGUUUUUAACUUAGGUUUGGGUGGCGGACGGGUGAGUAACGCGUAAAGAACUUGCCUCACAGCUAGGGACAACAUUUGGAAACGAAUGCUAAUACCUAAUAUUAUGAUAAUAGGGCAUCCUAUAAUUAUGAAAGCUAUAAGCGCUGUGAGAGAGCUUUGCGUCCCAUUAGCUAGUUGGAGAGGUAACGGCUAACCAAGGCGAUGAUGGGUAGCCGGCCUGAGAGGGUGAUCGGCCACAAGGGGACUGAGACACGGCCCUUACUCAUACGGGAGGCAGCAGUGGAGAAUAUUGGACAAUGGACCGAGAGUCUGAUGCAGCAAUUCUGUGUGCACGAUGAAGUUUGUCGGAAUGUAAAGUGCUUUCAGUUGGGAAGAAACAAAUGACGUUACCAACAGAAGAAGUGACGGCUAAAUACGUG